UGAGUACGAGAUGCUACGGCAUCGAAGCAGUCUAUGUCAUACUUCCAAGAAAAGCUUGCACUGUCAUAAACAAAAAUGCCUGUACCAUAACCGACACAGGUGGGUAGGUAGAGUAUACUAAGGGGCGCGAGAUAACUCUCUCUAAGGAACUCGGCAAAAUGACUCCGUAACUUCGGGAGAAGGAGUGCCUUAUUUAUAAGGUUGCAAUAACAAGAUCCAAGCAACUGUUUACCAAAAACACAGGUCUCCGCGAAGUCGUAAGACGAUGUAUGGGGGCUGACGCCUGCCCAGUGCCAGAAGGUUAAAGAAGUUGGUUAGCACUCGCGAAGCUGAUAACUGAAGCCCUGGUGAACGGCGGCCGUAACGAUAACGGUCCUAAGGUAGCGAAAUUCCUUGUCGGGUAAGUUCCGACCCGCACGAAAGGCGUAAUGAUUUGGAUACUGUCUCGGAGAGGGGCUCGGUGAAAUAGACUUGUCUGUGAAGAUGCGGACUACCUGCACCUGGACAGAAAGACCCUAUGAAGCUUUACUGUAACUUGAAAUUGAAAUUGGACUUUAUUUGCGCAGUAUAGGUGGGAGGCAUUGAGAAUAAUCUUGCGGGAUUAUUGGAGCCAUCAGUGAGAUACCACUCUUGUAAUGUUAGAUUUCUAACUUUGUAUCAUUAUCUGGUCAAAGAACAGUUUCAGGCGGGCAGUUUGACUGGGGCGGUCGCCUCCCAAACGGUAACGGAGGCGCACAAAGGUUUCCUCUGAACGGGUAGAAAUCGUAUCUAGAGUGUAAAGGCAUAAGGAAGCUUGACUGUGAGACCUACAAGUCGAGCAGGGACGAAAGUCGGUCUUAGUGAUCUGACGGUGCUGAGUGGAAAGGCCGUCACUCAACGGAUAAAAGUUACUCUAGGAUAACAGGCUGAUCUCCCCCAAGAGUUCACAUCGACGGGGAGGUUUGGCACCUCGAUGUCGGCUCAUCGCAUCCUGGGGCGGUAGUACGUCCCAAGGGUUGGGCUGUUCGCCCAUGAAAGCGGUACGCGAGCUGGGUUCAGAACGUCGUGAGACAGUUCGGUCCAUAUCCGGUGUAGGCGUUAGAAUAUUGAGAGGAGCCUUCUCUAGUACGAGAGGACCGAGAAGGACAUACCUCUGGUGUACCAGUUAUUGUGCCAACGGUAAACGCUGGGUAGCUAUGUGUGGAGUGGAUAACCGCUGAAAGCAUCUAAGUGGGAAGCCCACCUCAAGAUAAGUAUUCUC
rnacentral:rRNA from 1 species